UCCUCAAUUGCCAGUUUAAUGCUGACAAAACCAUUUUGUGCAUCUCCAGCCUGUCUCCCGACACAGUGGAGCUCAUCACUGAGUUUGCAUACGUUGUUUUUGAUCCUGUGACGGAAGACAAUAUAAAGGAGUUAACGCUAGUAGCCACUACGCUCAAGGUAAUGGGUAUCAUAAUAGUCUUCUUGGACCUCCUCUGUGAGAAGUUCUGUCCAAAGAACUGCGUAGGCAUCUGGCGGUUCACAAAAGUCUGCAUCUAUUCUGAGCUGCAGUGCAGGAUAUGGUGCUUACUUCAUUUAUCACUUUGCAGAGUCAUUUAAAAAGACUUCAGCACGAAGACGGAGUGCACUGUGUUUGAAACCAUCCUUCGUUGGAUUACCCACAAACCUGAAGAGCGACAAAGUUCCAGAUGGCCUUGACAAGCGUUCCGUACGACAUUCAUGUGAAGACCAAUGAGCUGGUGGAGAUCAACGCUGAGUGCAGGCCAAUGAUCAGUGAUGCCACCCAAAUUGUACAGCAUGAGACAAAAAGUCCUUUCAUGUGUUUUCUGCUACCCUCUCGCUCAUCCUCGUUUACACAGUGCCAUCACAGUGCCAAGAGUUUGGAGGAAUUGAGGCUUAUGAUGCCUCUGGUGACCACUAGGUUUUGUCUGACUUUUAACAUUAGUCGGAGAAUAAUUUGUUUUUUUAAUGUCAAUUAAAAACGUUAGUCCGACUACAUACCUGGAUAAUGCCAUUAAUAGUCCAUAGUUCAUAGAGACAUAAGCUUAGUCAGACUGGAGUCAGACUUGAGUCGGACUUGACUUUCUGUGCAUCCAGCAAAAUUUCCUUCCCGUCUUUGACCCAGAAGUAGAAGGAGACAACGUAUAGACAUGGCAACCACAAGAGCCAUGCUUGAUCUAAUUUUUAUUGCAAUUAUUAUGAACAGCAGACACGAAACAUACAGAACCACAGCACAAGUCAGACUAUGGCCUCGGUUAAACUGCAUGUUAACUUCCUGGAUGUCACUGUGGCAAAGCAUGUGCAUCAUCCUCAGGCCAAUAACAGCAUUGCUUUCCUUGGUGGAUACAUCUACGACGAUGCUAGCAUUGACUUUGAAGGUGUGUGUGUGUGUGUGUGUGUGUGUGUGUAAACAUAGAUUAGAUCUGAGCACAUACACCUGACGUCAAACUGUCCACGGGUGUAAGAGCAGGUUCGUCUAUGUCAGCGAAGCUACUAAUGGCUAAUUGAAGACAGAUGCCAGCUGCACAACAUUGCAUGAUGAGGUUUGUGAAACGAGAGAUUUAGAAAUAAUAAUAACCAUAGUAUGAUCUUUGGCAGUUGUGUAGGCAUGCAAUUGGAAUAGACUGUAUGCAGAGAUAUGAGUGAACGUGACAUAAUCAGAUGGGUCAAUAUGAAUAUGUAUGAAUAAACUAUUUAUUAUAUUGCAUACAUGAUGCAUAGUAAUUCAUAUUUGUGUAAAAUCUACUUUAUAUGGGUUAAUCCAGGAGAAACAGUCAUCAGUGUAUUUCAUUGUCUAUCCUUUUCUCUUUAGAUUUGCAUCUGUGGUGGUUGAGUGAUUCUCACUCAAUCCUAGACUGGUGACCCAGAGACCAAGCGAUGGACACUGAUCGCCCCCAUGAGCACAAGACAUCGUGGGCUUGCAGUCGUAGCACAAGAAUGCUAUUUCUAUGCAGUUAGGGACCAUAAAGAAAAUGGCUGUGUGGGCAGAGCUGAGGUCUCCACCCCUCAGGACAACACCUGGAACUUUGUGUCCUCUAUGACCAGACAGUGCAGUCACUUCAGCCUCAAAGUGAUCAAUGAGCAGAUUUAUGUUGUUGGUGGCCACACCUGCUCACUAGACAUCAGUUCAGGCAAGUGCUACGAUGGUACAAAUGAUCAGUGGUUUUUGACCUGUAACAUGAAGAACCACAAACCCAACUUGAGGUGCUGUGUGACGUUAAUGUCCCUUUUGACUUGUCAUUUAUAUAUAUUAAGUACAGUUGAAUAGACUGUCUAAUAUCCACAGGCAACAGUUUUUCUCUGUUGCUUUGGGACAUUUCUUAAAUUAUUCUUAACACAAUGAAUUACAUGUUUACGACUACUCCAUGUUUAAAUCAGUCUCAGCUCCAUCUAUCCAGCCUGACUGAUUUAGCAUUUCUCUACCACUUUGCUAACAGUACACAUCUGACAUGGUGUCACUCAUGGCGCAAUUUACUAAAACAUUGUGUUAUAUUGUGAAAUGUAACUAAAAUUUGCCUAUUGUAUUCUCACAAACUCACAAAGCAGCACACGUGCAAUGUCCAGGGUAUGCAUUAUUGUCACAUUUACAUUUAAGUUUAAAGUUGAUUAGAUGAAGAAUUUGAGGUCAAUUGCAAUACA